rnacentral:sRNA from 1 species
UCCUCUACAACCGCACAAAAGAGGUUUUUAAAAAUACUUAAGUAUUUACCUUCAUGGCGAGUCUUAG